rnacentral:rRNA from 1 species
GAUGAACGCUGGCGGCGUGCCUAAUACAUGCAAGUCGAGCGAACAGACGAGGAGCUUGCUCCUCUGACGUUAGCGGCGGACGGGUGAGUAACACGUGGAUAACCUACCUAUAAGACUGGGAUAACUUCGGGAAACCGGAGCUAAUACUGGAUAAUAUAUUGAACCGCAUGGUUCAAUAGUGAAAGACGGUUUUGCUGUCACUUAUAGAUGGAUCCGCGCCGCAUUAGCUAGUUGGUAAGGUAACGGCUUACCAAGGCAACGAUGCGUAGCCGACCUGAGAGGGUGAUCGGCCACACUGGAACUGAGACACGGUCCAGACUCCUACGGGAGGCAGCAGUAGGGAAUCUUCCGCAAUGGGCGAAAGCCUGACGGAGCAACGCCGCGUGAGUGAUGAAGGUCUUCGGAUCGUAAAACUCUGUUAUUAGGGAAGAUCAAAUGUGUAAGUAACUAUGCACGUCUUGACGGUACCUAAUCAGAAAGCCACGGCUAACUACGUG